UCCUUCGUGGUGAAAUGGUAUACACAUAUGAUUCAAAAUCAUACGCUUUAUAGCUUGCCGGUUCAAGUCCGGUCGAAGGUA
rnacentral:tRNA from 1 species